GGUAGUCCACGCCGUAAACGAUGUCGACUUGGAGGUUAAGCCCUUGAGGCGUGGCUUCCGGAGCUAACGCGUUAAGUCGACCGCCUGGGGAGUACGGCCGCAAGGUUAAAACUCAAAUGAAUUGACGGGGGCCCGCACAAGCGGUGGAGCAUGUGGUUUAAUUCGAUGCAACGCGAAGAACCUUACCUACUCUUGACAUCCAGAGAACUUAGCAGAGAUGCUUUGGUGCCUUCGGGAACUCUGAGACAGGUGCUGCAUGGCUGUCGUCAGCUCGUGUUGUGAAAUGUUGGGUUAAGUCCCGCAACGAGCGCAACCCUUAUCCUUUGUUGCCAGCGGUUAGGCCGGGAACUCAAAGGAGACUGCCAGUGAUAAACUGGAGGAAGGUGGGGAUGACGUCAAGUCAUCAUGGCCCUUACGAGUAGGGCUACACACGUGCUACAAUGGCGCAUACAAAGAGAAGCGACCUCGCGAGAGCAAGCGGACCUCAUAAAGUGCGUCGUAGUCCGGAUUGGAGUCUGCAACUCGACUCCAUGAAGUCGGAAUCGCUAGUAAUCGUAGAUCAGAAUGCUACGGUGAAUACGUUCCCGGGCCUUGUACACACCGCCCGUCACACCAUGGGAGUGGGUUGCAAAAGAAGUAGGUAGCUUAACCUUCGGGAGGGCGCUUACCACUUUGUGAUUCAUGACUGGGGUGAAGUCGUAACAAGGUAACCGUAGGGGAACCUGC
rnacentral:rRNA from 1 species